GUUCAAAUUUUAAAAAUACAAUAUUAUAGUCGCAUUAUCUAUUAUUAUGCUCUGGGUGGGCUAGUAGUCUUGGCAUCUCAAUUACAAAAAGGGUUUGGUCACUGCUUUAGUUUCCGAUACCUAACCAAAAAAAUGGAUUUAACAAAAAUAAUAUCAUCCCAACGCCGUUUGUCGCCGUGACCGAUCAAUCGUCUAAAUCAUAUUCCGAUGGAGGACUUGGCUUUAGGACGCUUGAAGAAUUUAAUCUAGCUUUACUAGCUAAGCAACUAUGGCGCCUUAUUAGAUUAUCAAACUCUCUUCUGAAUAGGGUUCGGAGGGUCGCUACUUUCGCUUUAGCGACCCCCUACAUAUAGGAACUUCUAACCGGCCUUCUUACGGUUGGAGAAGUAUCAUGGCUGCUAAACCCCUCCUGGUUUCUGGAUUAUGAAGGACCGUAGGUUCCGGUAUGCUCACCAAAGUGUGGGAAGAUUAUCACUACCAAAUGAGCUAGAAGAUUUAAAUUGACAGCAUUUUGCUAAGAAAACUAUAAUAACUAGUGUAGGGCACGUGCCUUACCCCUUAUUGCUGUAGAUCCGCCCAUGACUGAAGAUUUUGAAGGCUAAGAAGCCCAAAACCCCUAGAGAUUUUGAGAGAAAUAGCUAAUUUGGAGAGGGCCAUUAAGAAAUGGAAAAGAUAAAAUGAAGAGAGGAGCCGUGCUAUGGUUGAGCUUCUUUUGAACCCAAAAGAUUGAUCCAGAGUUAAGAAGAAGUUGGUCAAGCUUAGAGGAAGUUGCUCUAACUUAGAAGAAGUUAUAAUUCUGAUACCAUAUGUUAUGUUAUAAUUAUGCAAACUUAGUUCUCCAUCUCAAACUCUAUUUCAACUUAUAUGUACUUGGAUUGUUAUAUAAUUAUGUAGCAACUUUUAGAUA